rnacentral:lncRNA from 1 species
UACUCUUGCAAAUGUCGAACCCGCAUGUGUCAGCUGUGAAUGCUGAAUUUUCUUUUAUUCAAUGUCCUUAAAGACUGUGAUAACCCGUGCAAUAGCACAUCUAUGGUCGCGAAUCCAUAUAUAAACGGAUCCCAAUACGCUGCAUUCAACAUUCUGAGCACUGCGGUCAACAAGCAUCUGAAUGAUAAGGUACGCAAUUCACAGUCAAAAAUUUACAAAAAUGAAGUUCCUCAACGUUGUAUUUGUGUUGGCGGCAGCUUUGGUGCUGGCACUGGCGGGAUGUGAAGCACAGAGGUUCGAUUUUCACAUUCCACCAUUCAACCCAAAAGACAAAGUCAAGCUUCCUCCAAUUAGAUUUUAAGCCGUGCUGCAGUAGGAUGAAAUAA